rnacentral:rRNA from 1 species
GGUUAAGCGACUAAGCGUACACGGUGGAUGCCCUGGCAGUCAGAGGCGAUGAAGGACGUGCUAAUCUGCGAAAAGCGCCGGCGAGGUGAUAUGAACCUUUGACCCGGCGAUGUCCGAAUGGGGAAACCCAGUGUGAUUCGUCACACUAUCGUUAACUGAAUACAUAGGUUAACGAGGCGAACCGGGGGAACUGAAACAUCUAAGUACCCCGAGGAAAAGAAAUCAACCGAGAUUCCCCCAGUAGCGGCGAGCGAACGGGGAGCAGCCCAGAGUCUGAAUCAGCUUGUGUGUUAGUGGAAGCGUCUGGAAAGUCGCACGGUACAGGGUGACAGUCCCGUACACGAAAAUGCACAGGUUGUGAACUCGAAGAGUAGGGCGGGACACGUGGUAUCCUGUCUGAAUAUGGGGGGACCAUCCUCCAAGGCUAAAUACUCCUGACUGACCGAUAGUGAACCAGUACCGUGAGGGAAAGGCGAAAAGAACCCCGGCGAGGGGAGUGAAAAAGAACCUGAAACCGUGUACGUACAAGCAGUGGGAGCACCUUCGGGUGUGACUGCGUACCUUUUGUAUAAUGGGUCAGCGACUUAUAUUCUGUAGCAAGGUUAACCGUAUAGGGGAGCCGAAGGGAAACCGAGUCUUAACUGGGCGUUAAGUUGCAGGGUAUAGACCCGAAACCCGGUGAUCUAGCCAUGGGCAGGUUGAAGGUUGGGUAACACUAACUGGAGGACCGAACCGACUAAUGUUGAAAAAUUAGCGGAUGACUUGUGGCUGGGGGUGAAAGGCCAAUCAAACCGGGAGAUAGCUGGUUCUCCCCGAAAGCUAUUUAGGUAGCGCCUCGUGAACUCAUCUUCGGGGGUAGAGCACUGUUUCGGCUAGGGGGCCAUCCCGGCUUACCAACCCGAUGCAAACUACGAAUACCGAAGAAUGUUAUCACGGGAGACACACGGCGGGUGCUAACGUCCGUCGUGAAGAGGGAAACAACCCAGACCGCCAGCUAAGGUCCCAAAGUCAUGGUUAAGUGGGAAACGAUGUGGGAAGGCACAGACAGCCAGGAUGUUGGCUUAGAAGCAGCCAUCAUUUAAAGAAAGCGUAAUAGCUCACUGGUCGAGUCGGCCUGCGCGGAAGAUGUAACGGGGCUAAACCAUGCACCGAAGCUGCGGCAGCGACGCUUAUGCGUUGUUGGGUAGGGGAGCGUUCUGUAAGCCGUUGAAGGUGGCCUGUGAGGGUUGCUGGAGGUAUCAGAAGUGCGAAUGCUGACAUAAGUAACGAUAAAGCGGGUGAAAAGCCCGCUCGCCGGAAGACCAAGGGUUCCUGUCCAACGUUAAUCGGGGCAGGGUGAGUCGACCCCUAAGGCGAGGCCGAAAGGCGUAGUCGAUGGGAAACAGGUUAAUAUUCCUGUACUUGGUGUUACUGCGAAGGGGGGACGGAGAAGGCUAUGUUAGCCGGGCGACGGUUGUCCCGGUUUAAGCAUGUAGGCGGAACGAUUAGGUAAAUCCGGUCGUUUUUUAACGCUGAGGUGUGAUGACGAGGCACUACGGUGCUGAAGUAACAAAUGCCCUGCUUCCAGGAAAAGCCUCUAAGCAUCAGGUAACAUCAAAUCGUACCCCAAACCGACACAGGUGGUCAGGUAGAGAAUACCAAGGCGCUUGAGAGAACUCGGGUGAAGGAACUAGGCAAAAUGGUGCCGUAACUUCGGGAGAAGGCACGCUGAUAUGUAGGUGAAGCCCCUGCGGGUGGAGCUGAAAUCAGUCGAAGAUACCAGCUGGCUGCAACUGUUUAUUAAAAACACAGCACUGUGCAAACACGAAAGUGGACGUAUACGGUGUGACGCCUGCCCGGUGCCGGAAGGUUAAUUGAUGGGGUUAGCGGUAACGCGAAGCUCUUGAUCGAAGCCCCGGUAAACGGCGGCCGUAACUAUAACGGUCCUAAGGUAGCGAAAUUCCUUGUCGGGUAAGUUCCGACCUGCACGAAUGGCGUAAUGAUGGCCAGGCUGUCUCCACCCGAGACUCAGUGAAAUUGAACUCGCUGUGAAGAUGCAGUGUACCCGCGGCAAGACGGAAAGACCCCGUGAACCUUUACUAUAGCUUGACACUGAACACUGGUCCUUGAUGUGUAGGAUAGGUGGGAGGCUUUGAAGUGUGGACGCCAGUCUGCAUGGAGCCGUCCUUGAAAUACCACCCUUUAAUGGCUGGUGUUCUAACGUAGACCCGUAAUCCGGGUUGCGGACAGUGUCUGGUGGGUAGUUUGACUGGGGCGGUCUCCUCCCAAAGAGUAACGGAGGAGCACGAAGGUUAGCUAAUCCUGGUCGGACAUCAGGAGGUUAGUGCAAUGGCAUAAGCUAGCUUGACUGCGAGAGUGACGGCUCGAGCAGGUGCGAAAGCAGGUCAUAGUGAUCCGGUGGUUCUGAAUGGAAGGGCCAUCGCUCAACGGAUAAAAGGUACUCCGGGGAUAACAGGCUGAUACCGCCCAAGAGUUCAUAUCGACGGCGGUGUUUGGCACCUCGAUGUCGGCUCAUCACAUCCUGGGGCUGAAGUAGGUCCCAAGGGUAUGGCUGUUCGCCAUUUAAAGUGGUACGCGAGCUGGGUUUAGAACGUCGUGAGACAGUUCGGUCCCUAUCUGCCGUGGGCGCUGGAGAAUUGAGGGGGGCUGCUCCUAGUACGAGAGGACCGGAGUGGACGCAUCACUGGUGUUCGGGUUGUCAUGCCAAUGGCACUGCCCGGUAGCUAAAUGCGGAAAAGAUAAGUGCUGAAAGCAUCUAAGCACGAAACUUGCCCCGAGAUGAGUUCUCCCUGAGACUUUAAGUCUCCUGAAGGAACGUUGAAGACGACGACGUUGAUAGGUCGGGUGUGUAAGCGCAGCGAUGCGUUGAGCUAACCGAUACUAAUGAACCGUGAGGCUUAACCUU